GAGGGGGUGCAAACGUUAUUCGGAUUUACUGGGUGUAAAGGGUGUGUAGACGGGUUGUUAAGUUCGUUGUUAAAUCUUCCGGGCUAACCGGGAAGCUCGCGAUGGAAACUGGCAGUCUUGAGGAUGGAAGAGAGAAGUGGAAUUCUCGGAGUAGCGGUAAAAUGCGUAGAUCUCGAGAGGAACACCGAUGGCGAAGGCAGCUUCUUGGUCCAUUCCUGACGUUGAGACACGAAAGCGUGGGGAGCAAACAGGAUUAGAUACCCUGGUAGUCCACGCUGUAAACGAUGAUCACUAGAUGUUGGCCCUGUUUUGCAGGGUUAGUAUCGAAGCUAACGCGUUAAGUGAUCCACCUGGGAACUACGAUCGCAAGAUUA
rnacentral:rRNA from 1 species